CCACAUUAGUACACCACUCCAAGGUAUUAGGUUGCUUCCACAGGCGCUUUCGUAAUUGGUGCUACUACGUCAUCAUUGGAGCUAAGCUCAUUGAUCGAUGUUAAUUCAGAAGCUGGCAAUUGAGACUCCCCAUGAUAGUGUACACGUUACAUUUCUAACACCAUUUUAUCUCUGCCCUUGCCAAUUAUCAAAGUACUCCAACCCCAAUUGUUCUUGACCUUUGCUUGAUAAAGCCAGGGUUGUCUCAAUAAAAUUUGAUACGAUAAAGUCAAACUUUGUAACCGAAAGAUAAUGUAGUUGAUUUCAUACACAAUAUCGAUAAUUAUAUUAAUUAAUUUAAUUCUAGUUAAAACCCUAUUGAAUUUCACUCAAACUUUAGACCAAAUCUAAUUAAAUCUUAAACCCUAAUAAAUCCUAAAUCUUAAGUCAAAUCCUAAACAAAUCUUAAAUUAAACACUAAAUCAAACCCUAUUUCAAACCCUAAAUCCUAAACCAAACCCUAAAUCAAAUCCUAAACUAAAUCCUAAAUCCUAAUUCAAACUCUAAUUCAACCCUAAAUCCUAAUCUAAAUCCUAAAUUCUAAACCAAACCUUAAAUCAAACCUUAACCAAAUCCUAAUCCAAAUCCUAAAUCAAAUCCUAAUCAAAUCCUAAAUCCUAAUCCAAAUCCUAAAUCGAAUCCUAACCAAAUCCUAAACCCUAACCCAAACCCUAAUCCAAUCCUAAAUCCUAACCAAAACCUGAACCCUAA
rnacentral:lncRNA from 1 species